UACGUAUGGUGCGAGCGUUAAUCGGAAUUACUGGGCGUAAAGCGUGCGCAGGCGGUUUUGUAAGACAGAUGUUAAAUCCCCGGGCUUAACCUGGGAACUGCAUUUGUGACUGCAAGACUAGAGUGCGGCAGAGGGGGGUAGAAUUCCACGUGUAGCAGUGAAAUGCGUAGAUAUGUGGAGGAAUACCGAUGGCGAAGGCAGCCAACUGGGUGGAAACUGACGCUCAUGCACGAAAGCGUGGGGAGCAAACAGG
rnacentral:rRNA from 1 species